CGCAGGGUCCCCGGGGGGGCGGUUCCGGGGGGGCACCGGCGGAAGCGGAAGUGGCGGCGGGCGGGAUGGAGGAGGCGGAGAUGCAGCUGAAGGUGAAGAAAGUGACGGACAAGUUCACGGAGAGCCUGUACGUGCUGGCCAACGAGCCGUCAGUGGCGCUGUUCCGGCUGCAGGAGCACGUGCGCCGCUCCCUGCCCGAGCUGGCCCAGCACAAGUCGGACAUGCAGAGCUGGGAGGAGCAGAGCCAGGGAGCCAUUUACACCGUGGAAUACGCCUGCAGUGCCAUCAAGAACAUGACUGACAGCAGUGUUUACUUCAAGAGCAUCGACAGCCUCCUCAAACAUUCCAUAGCCAUGAAGGAGCAGCUCAACGCCGCCCAGGGCCGCAGCACCAUCACCCCCCAAUCCAAAAAUCCUCCAAGCACUUCCUGAUUUUUUUUUUCCAUCCUCAAUUUCCCAGCCUUGGAAAGAAGCGGAAAAACCACAGGGUCGUGCUGAGGAUGAGGAUGGAGCAGGGAGGAAGGAGAAGGGCGGGAAAAUCAGCCGAAAUCUGCCGGAAAAGGACGGAAUUCUCGUGAAAAAUUCCAAUUUCCGCUUCUCAUCCCCAAUUUCCAGAUCCUUUCCCACAGCUGGGAUGGGCUGGGAUGGAUCUGGGGGACUCCAGGUGGGCAGCAGAGGGAUUUUGGCUGUGGAUAAAAGCCCAAAAUCCUGAUUU